GCGGCCGUCGUCCAACUUGGUUAGGACGCUAGCCUUCCAAGCUAAUAAUCCGGGUUCAAAUCCCGGCAGCCGCA
rnacentral:tRNA from 1 species